UUCUUUUGAAAACAUGAUAUUUCUCUUUGCCUCCUGUUCUGAGACAACAGACUGGUUGAGCUUUACACCAUAAGAUACAGGAGCAGAAGUAGGCCAUUCAGCCCAUCAAGUGUGCUCCACCAAUUGAUUAUGGCUGAUUUUUUUCAGCCCCCAUUCUCCUCAUAAUCCUUAAUCCCCUUACCAAUCAGGAGUGUUCUAUCAAUGUAUUCAGAUUGGAUUCAUCACGGUUUGUGAUGGCAACUGGUCUGCCCAUGAUCACAAGAAACUGCAGAGUUGCGGACAUAGCUCAGCUCACUAUCGAAGCCUGCCUCCCCUCCAUGGGCUCUGUCUACACUUCUCACAGCCUCAGUAAAGCAGCCAGUGUAAUCAAAAACCCCACCCACCCUGGACAUCCUCAAUUCUCCACUCUUUCAUCGGGAAGAAGAUGCAAGAGCAUGAAAGCUCAUAUCGCCAGGCUCAAGGACAGCUUCUACACACCCCGCCCAUUAUCAGACGAUUCAAUAGUUCCCUAGUAUGCAACAAUCGAGAUUCUGAAGAUGCUGGAAAUCCUGAGUAACAAACACAGAACACAGGAGGAACUCAGCAGGCAACCUCGGAGGCCAGGUCAUUGGGUGUACUUAAGGCAGAGCUUGAUCGGUUCUUGAUUGGACAUGGCAUCAAAGGUUUCGGGGAGAAGGCUGAGGAGGGGAGAAAAGGAUCAGCCAUGAUUGAAUGUUGGUGCAGACUCGAUGGGCCAAAUGGCCUAAUUCUGCUCCUGCGUCUUAUGGUUUUAUAAACAUCAGAAUGGGAAUGGGGUUUAAUGUCACUGAUGUUUCUCGUCAAA